rnacentral:sRNA from 1 species
GGGUCAAUGGGUGAUCAAGAAGGCCGGUGGCCUAGGUUGCCGACCUCCAUUGCACUUAAUAGGGGUGUCUGCCUAAGGUCUGCCCAAGUGGUCGAGCUUA